AGCGAACGCUGGCGGCAGGCCUAACACAUGCAAGUCGAACGAACCUUUCGGGGUUAGUGGCGGACGGGUGAGUAACACGUGGGAACGUGCCUUUAGGUUCGGAAUAACUCAGGGAAACUUGUGCUAAUACCGAAUGUGCCCUUCGGGGGAAAGAUUAAUCGCCUUUAGAGCGGCCCGCGUCUGAUUAGCUAGUUGGUUGAGGUAAUGGCUCACCAAGGCGACGAUCAGUAGCUGGUCUGAGAGGAUGAUCAGCCACAUUGGGACUGAGACACGGCCCAAGCUCCUACGGGAGGCAGCAGUGGGGAAUCUUGCGAAAUGGGCGAAAGCCCGACGCAGCCAUGCCGCGUGAAUGAUGAAGGUCUUAGGAUUGUAAAAUUCUUUCACCGGGGAAGAUAAUGACGGUACCCGGAGAAGAAGCCCCGGCUAACUUCGUG
rnacentral:rRNA from 1 species